rnacentral:lncRNA from 1 species
AGAAACCUUUGCUGAACCAAUGUUGUGGAACUUUCCCCUUAUGUUUUCUUCUAGUAUAUUUACAGUUUCAAGUUACAUUAAAGUCUUUGAUCUAUUUUCAGUUAAUUUUUGUGUAUGAUGUUAGAUAGGGGUCCAAUUUCAUUCAUCUUCUUGUGGCUAUUCAGUUAUUUUAGCAUCAUUUAUUGAAGACACUGUCCUUUCUUCAAUG